ensembl:lncRNA
GGGGCGCGGGGGGAGGCGCCGUCCGGGAGCGGGCGGGAGCGAUCCGCCGCACCGAGCUGCCGCCGCGGGAGGGCUCGGGGUUUCAAAAUGGCGCCCAUUGCCGGUCGGCCUCAGCCGGCAGUGCAGUGUUCCACACGGUGCCGUUCCGCAGGUGCCUCACCGCGGGGCGGAACGGACGCGGCUGAGGAGAGCAGCCCCGGGUGGGCCGCGGCCCCGCUGUCACCUCAUCCCAUCGCUGUCACCUGGGGCAGGGGCCGACCCCCGCCUCGCUACAGCUUCAUUUUAGGGAGCAGCAGACGAAUUUGUGUGUGGCUGGCUGCGUGUUUUUUUCUUUUUCCCCCCCAUUUUUGUGCACUGAUGUGCUUUUGGAAUGAAUUAGUCGCCUUUAAACUCCACAAACUCCUGUAAAUCAAUGGGUGUAUGUAGUUUGAGUAAGCUGAAAUCAAAAUAGCUAAUAAUUAAGUUAGCCUUCCGAAAUGGCUGUGUGUAUCUGUUCAUUUUCUAAUGGACAAAAAGGAGAGUCGACCUCUGCCCCAGGUAACAACAGUAGGACAAGAGGUCAUGGCCUCACGUUGUGCCAGGGAGCAUCAGGCUGGGUGUCAGAGCAAUGUCUCCUCCAGAGAGCGGCCAGGCGCUGGCACAGCUGCCCAGGGCUGGGGAGUCCCCGUCCCUGGAGGUGUUCAGACCUGGGGGGAUGUGGCACUGAGGGAUGUGGGCAGGGGGUACGGGGGGGAGGUGGGGUUGGAGGUCUCAGAGGGCUUUUCCAGCUUUAACGCCUCUGUUGAAUCUAUGAUCCCAACAAAUGUGUUUUUAUGAGCAGAAUUUUUUUUUUUUUCAUUGUUGGAUUACUCUGAAACACUUAAAUUUGUAUACAGAAUGCACUUGUUCCCCAUUAUAUUCGAAGAACGGUUUAAUGAAAAUCAAGGAACUAAUUAGUGUUUACAAACUCUCUAAAGUUUUGAGCUCAAAUUCAAAAGGAUGCGUUGACAGAAGGAGAUUCAGACAGCUGUGAUCUAUUUGCUAUGAUCUGUUUGUUUUGCAGCCAAUAAACCUGUUUAAAGCUGUUGUACUCUUGCGUGG